AUUGAACGCUGGCGGCAGGCCUAACACAUGCAAGUCGAACGGCAGCACAGAAGAGCUUGCUCUUUGGGUGGCGAGUGGCGGACGGGUGAGUAAUGUCUGGGAAACUGCCCGAUGGAGGGGGAUAACUACUGGAAACGGUAGCUAAUACCGCAUAACGUCGCAAGACCAAAGUGGGGGACCUUCGGGCCUCACACCAUCGGAUGUGCCCAGAUGGGAUUAGCUAGUAGGUGGGGUAAUGGCUCACCUAGGCGACGAUCCCUAGCUGGUCUGAGAGGAUGACCAGCCACACUGGAACUGAGACACGGUCCAGACUCCUACGGGAGGCAGCAGUGGGGAAUAUUGCACAAUGGGCGCAAGCCUGAUGCAGCCAUGCCGCGUGUAUGAAGAAGGCCUUCGGGUUGUAAAGUACUUUCAGCGGGGAGGAAGGCGGUGAGGUUAAUAACCUUGCCGAUUGACGUUACCCGCAGAAGAAGCACCGGCUAACUCCGUGCCAGCAGCCGCAGUAACAC
rnacentral:rRNA from 1 species